rnacentral:rRNA from 1 species
UACGAAGGGUGCGAGCGUUGUUCGGAAUUAUUGGGCGUAAAGCGCACGUAGGCGGCCUUGUAAGUCUCACUGUGAAAGUCCGGGGCUCAACCCCGGGAUGCCAGGGGAUACUGCGAGGCUUGAGACAAGUAGAGGUUGGUAGAAUUCCGGGUGUAGCGGUGGAAUGCGUAGAGAUCCGGAGGAAUACCAGAGGCGAAGGCGGCCAACUGGGCUUGUUCUGACGCUGAGGUGCGAAAGCGUGGGGAGCGAACAGG